rnacentral:rRNA from 1 species
AUUGAACGCUGGCGGCAUGCUUUACACAUGCAAGUCGAACGGUAACAGGUUAAGCUGACGAGUGGCGAACGGGUGAGUAAUGCAUCGGAACGUGCCCGGUCGUGGGGGAUAACGCAGCGAAAGCUGCGCUAAUACCGCAUACGAUCUGAGGAUGAAAGCGGGGGACCGUAAGGCCUCGCGCGAUCGGAGCGGCCGAUGUCAGAUUAGGUAGUUGGUGGGGUAAAGGCUCACCAAGCCAACGAUCUGUAGCUGGUCUGAGAGGACGACCAGCCACACUGGGACUGAGACACGGCCCAGACACCUACGGGAGGCAGCAGUGGGGAAUUUUGGACAAUGGGCGAAAGCCUGAUCCAGCAAUGCCGCGUGCAGGAAGAAGGCCUUCGGGUUGUAAACUGCUUUUGUACGGAGCGAAAAGGUCUCCUCUAAUACAGGGGGCUCAAGACGGUACCGUAAGAAUAAGCACCGGCUAACUACGUGCCAGCCGCCGCAGUAA